rnacentral:other from 2 species
GCGGUGCUGCGGGGUGCGUCAGGAGAACAUAUCCCCGGGGCCUUAUCGAUCCUAACGGGAGCUGUUCCUUGCCUUGUCCGUGGACUCGGCGACACGGCGCCCACCUACGUUGUAGGUUUCCCGGGAUCGAUCCUCCAACGGCCAUCGUGGCUCCGCA